rnacentral:rRNA from 1 species
UACGGGGGGGGCAAGCGUUGUUCGGAAUUACUGGGCGUAAAGGGCUCGUAGGCGGCCAACUAAGUCAGACGUGAAAUCCCUCGGCUUAACCGGGGAACUGCGUCUGAUACUGGAUGGCUUGAGUUCGGGAGAGGGAUGCGGAAUUCCUGGUGUAGAGGUGAAAUUCGUAGAUAUCAGGAGGAACACCAGUGGCGAAGGCGGCUUCCUGGACACCAACUGACGCUGAGACGCGAAAGCUAGGGGAGCGAACAGG